rnacentral:rRNA from 1 species
CUACGGGUGGCAGCAGUGGGGAAUAUUGGACAAUGGGGGAAACCCUGAUCCAGCAAUGCCGCGUGUGUGAAGAAGGCCUGCGGGUUGUAAAGCACUUUCGGUUGGGAGGACUGCUUCUAGCACUAAUAUUGUUGGAAGUUGACGUUACCUUCAGAAGAAGCACCGGCUAACUCCGUGCCAGCAGGCCGCGGUAAUACGGAGGGUGCAAGCGUUAAUCGGAAUUACUGGGCGUAAAGCGCGCGUAGGCGGCUAGAUCAGUCGGGUGUGAAAGCCCCGGGCUUAACCUGGGAAGUGCAUCCGAUACUGUCUAGCUUGAGUACAGGAGAGGAGAGUGGAAUUCCACAUGUAGCGGUGAAAUGCGUAGAUAUGUGGAGGAACACCAAUGGCGAAGGCAGCUCUCUGGCCUGAUACUGACGCUGAGGUGCGAAAGCGUGGGGAGCAAACAGGAUUAGAUACCCGUGUAGUC